UGGUAGCGCGUCUGCCUUGUAAGCGCUAGGCCGCGGGUUCGAUUCCCGCCCGGGGCG
rnacentral:tRNA from 1 species